GUAGGUGGCAAGCGUUGUCCGGAAUUAUUGGGCGUAAAGCGCGCGCAGGCGGUUCUUUAAGUCUGAUGUGAAAGCCCACGGCUCAACCGUGGAGGGUCAUUGGAAACUGGAGAACUUGAGUACAGAAGAGGAAAGCGGAAUUCCACGUGUAGCGGUGAAAUGCGUAGAGAUGUGGAGGAACACCAGUGGCGAAGGCGGCUUUCCGGUCUGUAACUGACGCUGAGGCGCGAAAGCGUGGGGAGCAAACAGGAUUAGAUACCCUGGUAGUCCACGCCGUAAACGAUGAGUGCUAAGUGUUAGGGGGUUUCCGCCCCCCUUAGUGCUGCAGCUAACGCAUUAAGCACUCCGCCUGGGAGUACGGCCGCAAGGCUG
rnacentral:rRNA from 1 species